rnacentral:piRNA from 9 species
CCGCGGCCCGGGUUCGAUUCCCGGUCAGG